rnacentral:sRNA from 1 species
AUUGUGAAGUUUCAAAGGUAGAAUGGUUCUGACUGAAGACCAGUUGCAAGGAAUUGCCAUGUUUGAGGGUUGUACAGGAGAGUAGAACUAAUUAUUUACCCCUUUAAUGGACUUCUAAAUUGGUUAAUUGCAUAGGCUUAGUCUCUAAAGGAUAGGUAAAAGCUGUAUCUGAGGGACACUGCCUAGCCAUGUAUAGUGCUCCUACUGUUAUGAUGUCGUUUUUUCCGUGGGAGGAGGAUGUUCUUGUUUUUGUAGUUAUUGGAAAUUUUGAAAGUAUGUGGGAUUGGCCCUAAUGGUGAAACUAAUGUUCCUCUUUGUUUUUAGUGGUUACUGCAGCUUCUUUUCACACUAAAGACUCUACUAAUAGAAAACCUUUAACCAAAAGUCAGCCCUGUUUGACAUCCUUUAAUUCUGUGGACAUUGCUUCUUCUAAAGCAAAAAAAGGAAAAGAGAAGGAAAUUGCAAAACUAAAACGACCCACAGCACUUAAAAAGGUUAUUUUAAAAGAAAGAGAGGAAAAGAAGGGUCGCUUAACUGUGGACCACAAUCUUUUGGGAUCCGAGGAACCAACAGAAAUGCACUUAGAUUUUAUUGAUGACUUGCCACAGGAGAUUGUUUCCCAGGAAGGUAAGGAGCUCCCCCUUUCUCCUCUUCUCAUGGAAUGGUCUGAAAUAUUUUAAUAGAUACGUAAGCUAUCACUAGUUAAUGCUCCUGAUUGGAAGACGUGCUCCAUAUUUUACAUAAAUCUCUUUAUUCUUCAGAGUGGUUUCUUUUAAAGAUGUUUUUGUAGGGAGAUGGUUAAAGAGAAGGG